GCCGCGGCGGCUCCGGGGGAGGUCGGGGCGAGGCGGGACGGCCACUCCGGCUGCGCGUCAGCGUCACCGCGUGACCCGUGACGUGACAGCGGGGAGAGCCGCGGCCUGGCCAGGUGCUCGGCGUCCGCCAGGUGCCCUCUGGGCGCUCGCCUGUGCUCACGACAGCAGCCCUCCUGGAACACGCGAGGACGGACGGAAACACGGGCGCUAGGCACUUUUCGAAUUUAGGUGAGAAGCGGAGGGACAGAGACGUUAAGUAAAAUGCCCCAGAUCACACAGCUGGUAAAUAUGUCAGAACCAAGGUUUGAAUCCAGUCCGGACCCAGAGCAUGGGCUCUUCACUACUGUACGGUUAUUGCCUUUUAUUGUCAGUCGUUCACGCGUGGAAAUAUUUUGCUACAGCAAGAACGAAGCGGGCUAAAAAGAAAAACUAGUUCGCCGCGUUAGCAAUGAUAACAACUGUGUAUUUAUUGUAUUUAUUUAUUGUAUUUAUUGUAUCUUCAGAGGUUGAGUUGGUGGUUGGGAGGCGAGAGCUAUUUGUCAGCACGUGGGAGAAGGCAUUUCGGCUAUAAAGCCCAAAACUGAUUUUCCGUACUCAAGCAGAUGAGAACCUCAUGUUUCAUUUUUAUGACUGUUGCAUAUAAAUGUGCUAAAAUACACAUAUUGGAAAACGGCUUCUUUUGUAAAUGCUAAUGCCUUACUCUAUUCAAAUAUCAUGGCAGGUUUCAAAUUUCUCUUUGAAUCCGGAGCCAUUUUCUUGUUUCUUCUGGGGCCCGUGAGAUCAUAAUCAUUACUGAUAGUUAAAGUUUGAAGUUUGGAAUAUACAUGUCAAAAGAAAAGUGCCACAGAAUUUAAAGAAUAGAGCUUACAUUAAAUUUAGAGUGGCCAAAGUGCCUUUUACCACUGUUUCUCUGCAUGCUGUGCACUAACGAAAGAUGCAGUCCAACUGGUGUAAUUACUUCGAAGGUAUUGAUUGAACAAAUACUCUGGAUCAAUGCAAUGUGCCGACAUUUCUUAGAGCAUGGAAUUUGUUGUGGACACUGCCCCUGAGUUAGGGAAGGUACUAUGUAUUGUACCAUAUUAGAAUUCUCCAUUUGGCCUUCCUAGCUGUUACUCCCAGCUGUUGACCCUAACAGCUCAAUUAUGAAUGCUAUUUGGGGUUAACAAAAUCAGGAAGGCAUUACAAAUAGAGAUGCAAAAAUUAGGGCAUCAAAAACAGAAGAAGAAAUCAAACUUGUUGGAAGUUGUCAGGAGGAAACAGUCAAGGAGAAUAGUGCCUUGUGGGAAUUAUCAAGAGUUUAUUCAGGAAAAUACAUAUUUACCUUUUUGAAACGAAUCAUUUUAAAACAGAAUUCAUCAGUCUUUCUGUAAGAAUACACAAUGACUAUGCUUAUUUUGUGGCAUACUAACUGAAUAUAAAAAAUACGUGAGCAGAAA